GCUAGGGUGGCAGAGACAGGUUUAUGCACAAGACCUAAGCCCUUGUUCACAAAAGUUCAAAUCUUUUCCCUAACA
rnacentral:tRNA from 1 species